rnacentral:rRNA from 1 species
CCUACGGGGGGCUGCAGUGGGGAAUAUUGGACAAUGGGGGGAACCCUGAUCCAGCGACGCCGCGUGAGUGAAGAAGUAUUUCGGUAUGUAAAGCUCUAUCAGCAGGGAAGAAAGAAAUGACGGUACCUGACUACGAAGCCCCGGCUAACUACGUCCCCGCAGCCGCGGUAAUAAGUAGGGGGCAAGCGUUAUCCGGAUUUACUGGGUGUAAGGGGAGCGUAGACGGCGGAGCAAGUCUGAAGUGAAAGGCCGGGGCCCAACCCCCGGACUGCUUUGGAAACUGUAUGGCUGGAGUGUAGGAGCGGUGAGUGGAAUUCCUAGUGUAGCGGUGAAAUGCGUAGAUAUUAGGAGGAACACCAGUGGCGAAGGCGGCUUACUGGACUGUAACUGACGUUGAGGCUCGAAAGCGUGGGGAGCAAACAGGAUUAGAUAUCCUUGUAGUC